AAAACUCUACACAUUCAGUCUAAUUCAAGUGUUCUGUAGGAGAACACAUAAGAAAAACAGUAAAUUCAAAAUUAAAAAAAUCCUUUGGCAUUCAAACAUUUCGGCUUUAGAUUAAGUGCAAAAAGUGGUUUUUAUACUUUUAUAAAAAAAAAAAACAAGUCAAAAAUUGAGAUCAGAUUUGUUUAUCCCAUAUAAAUCAAGUAAUUUAAACAAAAACAAACAACCGCAUGCACGCACGCACGGUCCGGAGCGGUCCACAAAGAAGAUACACAGAGCAGAUUAGAUUGAGUUGAGCAUUUGAAAACCAGAGAACUACCUACACAUGGAACCACAAACUGAAAGCCACAAUAAAGGACACGGAGGAUUACUAAUGGAAUAUACGGUGGAGAGGGGAUUUGUCUAUCCUUUUUUGCAAUCAACGGAUCUCGGAAUAGUCCAGCAAAAGAGAUUUUUCUUGACAAGAAUGGUCUGGCGCAAACCUUCUAGAUUUCUUUUCGACCAAUAAAAAUUUUCAGCGUUAA